GCGUAGUUUCAGGGCGGGGUGCAAUUCCCCACUGGCGGUAAGUAAGAAGCCCGCGCACCGCAUAAGCGGUUGAUCUGGUUAGAUUCCAGAGCCAACGGUUACAGUCCGGAUGAAAGAAACGAGGU
rnacentral:ncRNA from 1 species